rnacentral:rRNA from 1 species
UGUGUAGGCGGUUCUUUAAGUUUGGUGUGAAAUCUCCCGGCUCAACCGGGAGGGUGCGCCGAAUACUGAGGGACUAGAGUGCGGGAGAGGAAAGUGGAAUUCCUGGUGUAGCGGUGAAAUGCGUAGAUAUCAGGAGGAACACCGGUGGUGUAGACGGCUUUCUGGACCGUAACUGACGCUGAGACACGAAAGCGUGGGUAGCAAACAGGAUUAGAUACCCUGGUAGUCCACGCCCUAAACGAUGCAUAUUUGGUGUGGGUCAUUCAGUUGAUCCGUGCCGGAGCUAACGCGUUAAAUAUGCCGCCUGGGGAGUACAGUCGCAAGGCUGAA